CUUAGCCCCUUCUCCCACUAUACGACUCUCUGGCGAUGCCACAGCGACUACGACUGGCUUCGCCAGAGAGUCGCAUAGUGGGAGAUGGGGUUUAA
rnacentral:pre_miRNA from 1 species